GUACUGCUGAAGAGCCCCAAACUAGGAUGAAACAGCUGUCCAGUAC
rfam:Trichobilharzia regenti genome assembly, scaffold: TRE_scaffold0006625